AACACGUUCACCGGGGAUGAACAACUUUUGUCACGUGACCGCAAAAGUCAACGCCGGUUGCAGAAACAGAUUGUAAUCUUGUACAUUAAGAAACAUGACGCUCGUGUGUGAAAUCUGUGGAAAGACAUUUAAAUCGAAGUGGGGGUUAAAGCUUCAUGAUAAGCGCCACAGAGGGACUGGACGAUUCGCCUGUUGUGGAAAAACAUUUUACACAAAACAGGCGUUCAACAGACACAGAUGCAGCAUUCAUGGUGUUGAAAAGCCGUUCCCCUGUGAACAAUGCGGCAAAAAGUUUUCAACCAAAGAUGACCUGAAUCGUCACGUCCGGAGGGAGGUUGCUGCAAAGCAAUUUACCUGCUCAAUUUGCAAUGCAACGCUCCGGGAGAAAAUUGACCUUCAGGCCCACCUUGCCACCCACAAUGGAGAGAAAAACUUUGCUUGUGAUAUGUGUGAAAAGAGGUACCGGCACCGCAGUAGUCUAUCAAAGCACAGAUCUGCAAAGCACCGGGCCUAGUCAUCUGUUGCAUGACGAUGAUAAGACCAAGAAUUAUUUUUAAUUCUUACCAAUGUGCCGUGGUUAUUUUCUUAAUUAUUGAAAAUACAGACUGUCAUACAAUAAUAUAUAGUAUUACGCGUGUUUUUGCGUCUUAAACAUUGUGUUUCAUAUCGUUUAUCUUGUGUUGUUUUGUUUGAUAUUCCUGUUUUUAAUAAGAUUAUUGUUGUAAUAUUUAUCAUUCUAAUUUAAAAUGAUUAUGAUAAUGGUUGAUCUCAUACAAAUUAUUGUGUUCAUUAUUGCUCAUCU